rnacentral:rRNA from 1 species
UACAGAGGUCUCAAGCGUUGUUCGGAUUCAUUGGGCGUAAAGGGUGCGUAGGUGGCGCCGUAAGUCAGGUGUGAAAUCUCGGGGCUUAACCCCGGGUCUGCAUUCGAUACGGGCUAGCUAGAGUGUGGUAGGGGAGAUCGGAAUUCCUGGUGUAGCGGUGAAAUGCGUAGAUAUCUGGAGGAACACCGGUGGCGAAGGCGGCAUCCUGGACCAUUACUGACGCUGAGGAGCGAAAGCCAGGGGAGCAAACGGG